UACGUAGGGUGCGAGCGUUAAUCGGAAUUACUGGGCGUAAAGCGUACGCAGGCGGCUUGGUAAGACAGGUGUGAAAUCCCCGGGCUUAACCUGGGAACUGCAUUUGUGACUGCCUAGCUAGAGUCUGUCAGAGGGGGGUGGAAUUCCACGUGUAGCAGUGAAAUGCGUAGAGAUGUGGAGGAACACCGAUGGCGAAGGCAGCCCCCUGGGAUGAGACUGACGCUCAUGUACGAAAGCGUGGGGAGCAAACAGG
rnacentral:rRNA from 1 species